CUGGUAGUUAUUAGUGUACAGAAAUGCAAGAUGCCUGUGUAUUGAUUUUGUGUUCUGCAACUUUACUGAAUUUAUUAGUUCCAACAGUUUUUUGGCCUUUGGGGUUUUCUAUAUGUCAUUUUAUCUGCAAAAACUGACAAUUUGGGUGCCUUUUGCUUGCCUAAUUGCUCUGGCUAGGACUUCCAAUACUAUGUUAACAUUUAAAAUUUGACAUAAAAAGCAAAGUGGUCCAAAGAAAGAAGUUUGAAACUAAAUGUUGAACACUCUACUGAGUCCAUGGACCAAACUCCCUCCUUUUUAUGAAACCCCAUGUGGGUGAUGCAGGUUAUCAGGAACAAUUCUAAGUUACUACAGCUUUGUCACAAACCACCCUAAAAACUUAAGAGGUUCAAACAGUAAUCAUUUCUCUCUCGGAUUUUGUGGACUAGGAAUUUAGGAAAGGCUCUACCUGGCAGUUCCGACUCCAGGUAUCGGAUGUAUUUGCAUUUACAGCGGCUAGAGCUGGGCUAGCAGGAAGUUAGAACACGAGGGACUGGCCAGACGUUUCUGCUUGUAGUUUCAGGAUCUCUCUGUGUGGGCUGGUCUGGGCUUCCUCACAGAAUUGGCUUCAGGGUGACUCAAGGACUUACCAGCCUGUGUAGCUUUGCGUGUUCCAACAGACCAGCUGUAAGCUGUGUUGCCUUUGAUCUAGCUUUGGAAGUCACAGAGCAGUCCUUUUGUCGUAUCAACCAAUCACCUCUUGAUCUGGGGAAUGUCAGACUUUAUGGAUCUUUUACAACCGCCACAUCUCCCCUCAGGAAGCCCAUCUGGUGUGAGAGAGGCAAGACCAGCCUAGAUACUGCCACCAGGAGAAUACCAAAAGGUAAGCUGCCCCAUGUAGAAGGCCAUGGGAGCUCACAGAGGGGAGUAAGGGAAAGCAUUUUGGAGGCGACCUUUGAGCCGGUUCUUAAGAUGGAUUUUGACAUUUUGAAUGGCAUUAGCAAGGUCCAGAAGUAAUAAAUGGUUGAACAGCGAGUGAUUACUUGACUGCAAUCAAAAGUGGCUGAAGGAGGAGUGAGCAGAGGCCAGAAAUGUGAGCCAGAUCAAGGAACGCCCAACCUAAGCAGCUUCGAGAGAGGUAGGGACAUGGGCAGAAAAGUAAUGAAGGUUCCUCUCCCCUCCAGAUACAAUUACCAUGGGAGAGAUGGUGAACUUUCCUUCUUGGCAAUAUCUACUACCCCUCCUGGGUGGUAUUACAGGAGUUUACAGCAGUCUCCAACUUGGAAAUAGUAUCAGGAUGCUGCUCCAACGAUCUUUCACGUCAAGGUCAGCCCACCCCCCAGUUGGGAACUGGUGGGAGCUACAGCCUGAAAGGACAGCGGAAGGAGGAGGGAAGACACACUAUAUUCAUCUACUCCGACAAGCAUCACGGGCAAAGCAAAAGCAAUGGAGAUGACUGGUCUGUGGGGACGGGGGGUGGCACUCUCACAGGGAUGGCCGUGGCAGACACUGCUGAAGCCCAGAGCCACUACAACACUGCGACUUCAUGGCACACACAGUUAGGGGCAGUGAGAAAGGUUUACUUAACUGUUCUAGGCUGUAGCAAG